UCCAUCCACUGCCGCCAUGGCUCGAUAGCCUCCACAUGCUCCCCCCCUCGGCGUAUAAAUGUGUCCAAGUGAAACCGUAGCACGCCCUCACCCGAUCCCCUCCUUUUGCCUGUCGCGCCCCCUCCUCCUCUACUAAAAUGAUGAGCCCAAGAGCUCACGCGGUGAUCAUGCCAAGGUCACCAGUGCCGUGGGCACCGGCCGCCGUUCCCCGUUUGCUGAUGCGCAAGUGAAGCGCGCCGUCGUCCUCUUCUUCCACGCCGAGCGCCACCAGCUAGGACGGCCCCGCACAGUCGCUCCCGUCGAUUCCCUCUGCUGGCAACCAUCGCUGUCCGCCGUCGAUUCGCUCGACCCCGACCUCCGCUGGCCUCACCGGCUGCUCCUCCUGACUCGUGUUCUUGAGACCCUGUUUUAGAUUCAUCCAAGCAUCCAUCCAUUCUUCAUCAAGCCGUCACAAGCAGGCAGGCAUGCAACAUGCCAACAUGCACAGACAAGAAUUUUCUGGAGUGAAUUUGGUUUUCAGUCGUGAGUCUGAGCUCUUACUGUAGUUAAGAGUUCAAAUCAAUAGCUGCCUAUUUUUGCAAGUUCAAAUUAAUGGAUGUGAACUAGUUUUUUUUC